UGGGGAAUAUUGCACAAUGGGCGCAAGCCUGAUGCAGCCAUGCCGCGUGUGUGAAGAAGGCCUUCGGGUUGUAAAGCACUUUCAGCGGGGAGGAAGGCGAUAAGGUUAAUAACCUCAUCGAUUGACGUUACCCGCAGAAGAAGCACCGGCUAACUCCGUGCCAGCAGCCGCGGUAAUACGGAGGGUGCAAGCGUUAAUCGGAAUUACUGGGCGUAAAGCGCACGCAGGCGGUCUGUCAAGUCGGAUGUGAAAUCCCCGGGCUCAACCUGGGAACUGCAUUCGAAACUGGCAGGCUAGAGUCUUGUAGAGGGGGGUAGAAUUCCAGGUGUAGCGGUGAAAUGCGUAGAGAUCUGGAGGAAUACCGGUGGCGAAGGCGGCCCACUGGACAAAGACUGACGCUCAGGUGCGAAAGCGUGGGGAGCAAACAGG
rnacentral:rRNA from 1 species